CUUAAUCUUGUUUAUUUGUAUUGAAAAUCAUGGGUUUUUUCUUAAUGCAUCAUAUUGAAUCUGGCUUAUCCAUUUUGUGCUGUUAAUCAUAUUUAGCUAAUCUUUUGCUCUAAAGUUUAUGACCCAUUAAUGCUAGUGCUUAAUCUUGUUGAUUUGUUUUGAUGGAUUUUUCUUAAUAAUGAAUCUGGCUUGACCAUUUGGCCCUUUGGCCUUUUUGUGCUUGUUAAUUGUUUUCAGCUAGGCAAAGUUCUAAUCUUUUUCUAUAAUGUUUCUGACCCUUUAAUGGCUUAAUGUUGUUGAUUUGUGUUUUUGUUAAUGCAUUUGGCCUUUUGUGCUUUUGUUCUUUUGUUAAUCAUACUCAGCUAGUCUUUUGCUCUAAUGUUAUGGAAUCUUUAAUACUAGUGCUUAAUCUUGUUGAUUUGUAUUAACAAAUCUGGCUUACCCAUUUGGCCUUUUGUGCUUGUCAAUCAGUUUCAGCUAGGGAAAGUUCUAAUCUUUUGGUCCAAGUGUUGGCACCCUUUAAUGCUGGUGCUUAAUCUUGUUGAUUUGUAUGAACAGUCAUACUUUUUUUAAUGCAGCAUAUUGAAUCUGGCUUACCGUUUGUCCGUUUUCUGCUUGUUAAUCAUACUCAGCUAGGCAAAGUUGUAACCUUUUGCUUAAUCUUGCAUGUUCUUUUAAUGCAUCAUAUUGAAUCUGGCUUACCCUUUUGGUCUUUGUGCUAAUGAUAGUCUCCAGCUUGGCCAAAAUCUGUUCUUUGCUUCAGUUUUUUGUACCUGUUGAUGUUAAUGCUUAAUCUUGUUGAUUUUUAUUAGUAAUCAUGGCUUGUUUAAUGGAUCAUAUGGGAGUUUUGCUUACCCUUUGGCCGUUUAAGCUUGUUUCUUAUUCCCAGCUAGGCUAAUAUCUGUUUUCUGCUUGUGUUGUGCUGCCUAUUAUGAUAAUGCUUUUUGCUUACCCUUUGGCCGUUUAAGCUUGUUUCUUAUUCCCAGCUAGGAUAAUAUCUGUUUUCUGCUUGUGUUGUGCUGCCUAUUAUGAUAAUGCCUAGAGUUGUUUAUUUGUAUUAGUAAUCUUGGCUUCUUAAUUGCAUCAUCUCAGAUCUGUGUUUCAAUAAGUUUAAUUAUUCUUAUAGCUGUCAUUGCUGCUGGUUACUGUUUGAUUUCUUGAAAUGCUGUAUUCUUUAUUUGUUCAUUUAUUUUUGUAGAAAAGAUUGUUUUUAUGUGUUGUGCUUAGUUUGGGUUCUGCUCUUCCACGCAUGUGGUUGAUUAGGUCCAUCGGUAUAAGGGCAAUUAUUGUUUUAAUCUCCAAUGAUAAAAGUUGAAUUUCAUUGGUCUUCACAAUUAAUCCAAAUGUUUUUAUGCUUGGGGAUCUUGUCCAUAGUUAGUGUACUUCUCAACUGAAGAUAUGAGAAGUUCCAUUGUGAAUCUGCAUUUUUGAUGUAGUAAAUGGCAUCUGGACUGUCCAUUUUGGUGAUUGAACAAGAAAUAGAAUGCGAUAUAGGUGGAAGAUGAUGUGGACAAUGUGGCCUGAAACGUAAAUGAUGUGCCUGCAGCUAGCCAACUCUGUUUCUGGAAUUCCACUUGACUUUGUUUUCCACUUCCCGUUCCAUUUUGCUUUUGAAUUCAUCGUUUAGUGCAUUAGGG
rnacentral:lncRNA from 1 species